GGGCCGCUAGCUCAGUCGGUAGAGCAACGCCCUUUUAAGGCGUGGGUACCCGGAUCGUAACCGGGGCGGCUCA
rnacentral:tRNA from 1 species